UAUUUUGAGCUUCAAAAUCUGCAAGUGUCUAAAACAUUCCUAAUGAAUAUAAACUCUACUGUUUAUACUAUUGUUCUUUAUUUAUUUAUUUUUCCUAUUAUUCAUUUAUGGAGAGAAGAAAUGCCUUCAUUAAAAUUCUCAUUCCCAUUUUCUGUUUAUAAUUUGAGGUCAAAUUUAAGUUAUGACCCCUUAAUCUUGACAAAAUGCAUUGCAACAAAUUCAUCGACACACGAUGCACGGUUCUUUAUUUAUCUAUGGAUUUCUUGGCGAAUUUAAU
rnacentral:lncRNA from 7 species